AGAGUUUGAUCAUGGCUCAGAAUCAACGCUGGCGGCGUGCCUAACACAUGCAAGUCGAACGCGAAAGUGGAGCAAUCCAUGAGUAGAGUGGCAAACGGGUGAGUAACACGUGGGUGACCUGCCUUCGAGUGGGGGAUAACGUCCCGAAAGGGACGCUAAUACCGCAUAACAUGCUGUCUUUUAAGAGAGAGACAUCAAAGCCGGGGACCGCAAGGCCUGGCGCUUGAAGAGGGGCCCGCGCCUGAUUAGCUAGUUGGUGGGGUAAUGGCUCACCAAGGCAACGAUCAGUAUCCGGCCUGAGAGGGCGGACGGACACACUGGGACUGAGACACGGCCCAGACUCCUACGGGAGGCAGCAGUGGGGAAUUGUUCGCAAUGGGCGCAAGCCUGACGACGCAACGCCGCGUGGAGGAUGAAGACCUUCGGGUCGUAAACUCCUUUCGAUCGAGACGAAUGGCCUCCGGGCUAACAUCCUGGAGGAGUGACGGUACCGAGAGAAGAAGCCCCGGCUAACUCCGUGCCAGCAGCCGCGGUAAUACGGGGGGGGCAAGCGUUGUUCGGAAUUACUGGGCGUAAAGGGCUCGUAGGCGGCCAACUAAGUCAUACGUGAAAUCCCUCGGCUUAACCGGGGGAACUGCGUCUGAUACUGGAUGGCUUGAGUUCGGGAGAGGGAUGCGGAAUUCCAGGUGUAGCGGUGAAAUGCGUAGAUAUCUGGAGGAACACCGGUGGCGAAGGCGGCAUCCUGGACCGAUACUGACGCUGAGGAGCGAAAGCCAGGGGAGCAAACGGGAUUAGAUACCCUAGUAGUCC
rnacentral:rRNA from 1 species